AUUGAACGCUGGCGGCAUGCCUUACACAUGCAAGUCGAACGGCAGCACGGGGGCAACCCUGGUGGCGAGUGGCGAACGGGUGAGUAAUGCAUCGGAGCGUGCCCAGUAGUGGGGGAUAACCAGUCGAAAGGCCGGCUAAUACCGCAUACGACCUACGGGUGAAAGCGGGGGACCGUAAGGCCUCGCGCUAUUGGAGCGGCCGAUGUCUGAUUAGCUAGUUGGCGGGGUAAGAGCCCACCAAGGCGACGAUCAGUAGCUGGUCUGAGGGGACGACCAGCCACACUGGGAAUGAGACACGGCCCAGACUCCUACGGGAGGCAGCAGUGGGGAAUUUUGGACAAUGGGCGCAAGCCUGAUCCAGCCAUGCCGCGUGCGGGAAGAAGGCCUUCGGGUUGUAAACCGCUUUUGGCAGGAACGAAACGGCGCAAGCCAAUACCUUGCGCUAAUGACGGUACCUGCAGAAUAAGCACCGGCUAACUACGUGCCAGCAGCCGCGGUAAGAC
rnacentral:rRNA from 1 species